rnacentral:rRNA from 1 species
CCUACGGGAGGCAGCAGUGAGGAAUAUUGGUCAAUGGGCGGGAGCCUGAACCAGCCAAGCCGCGUGAGGGAAGAAGGUACAGCGUAUCGUAAACCUCUUUUGUCAGGGAACAAAGGCGGGGACUAGUCCCCGGAUGAGGGUACCUGAAGAAAAAGCAUCGGCUAACUCCGUGCCAGCAGCCGCGGUAAUACGGAGGAUGCGAGCGUUAUCCGGAUUUAUUGGGUUUAAAGGGUGCGCAGGCGGCCUGUUAAGUCAGCGGUAAAAGCCCGGGGCCCAACCCCGGCGAGCCGUUGAAACUGGCGGGCUGGAGUUGGAGAGAGGGACGCGGAAUGCGCGGGGGAGCGGGGAAAUGCUUAGAGAGCGGGCGGAACCCCGAUUGGGAAGGCAGCGUACCGGCUCCACACGGACGCUGAGGGACGAAAGCGGGGGUAUCGAACAGGAUUAGAGACCCUGGUAGUC